rnacentral:rRNA from 1 species
UUUAUUGGAGAGUUUGAUCCUGGCUCAGGAUGAACGCUGGCGGCGUGCCUAAUACAUGCAAGUCGAGCGAAUGGAUUGAGAGCUUGCUCUCAAGAAGUUAGCGGCGGACGGGUGAGUAACACGUGGGUAACCUGCCCAUAAGACUGGGAUAACUCCGGGAAACCGGGGCUAAUACCGGAUAACAUUUUGAACUGCAUGGUUCGAAAUUGAAAGGCGGCUUCGGCUGUCACUUAUGGAUGGACCCGCGUCGCAUUAGCUAGUUGGUGAGGUAACGGAUCACUAAGGCAACGAUGCGU